UAAUAGUGUAUAUUAAAGUUGUUGCAGUUAAAAAGCUCGUAGUUGAAUGUUGGUGUCGAACGAGCGGUCAGCUUCGGCUGUACUGCUCUCUCGACUCCUUCCUUCUGUGGACUACGUCGCACUUUACUGUGUGGCGCUAGGACGCAGAUCGUUUACUGUGAAAAAAUUAGAGUGUUCAAAGCAGGCCGUACGCUUGAAUACAUUAGCAUGGAAUAAUGGAAUAGGACGUCGGGCCUAUUUUGUUGGUUCUAGGACCGUCGUAAUGAUUAAUGGGGACAGUUGGGGCCGUUUAUAUUCCGUAGUCAGAGGUGAAAUUCUUGGAUUUGUUAAAGACGGACUACUGCGAAAGCAUUUGCCAAGGAUGUCUUCAUUGA
rnacentral:rRNA from 1 species